GCUGGGCAUGGUGGUGCACGCCUGUAAUCCCAGCUACUUGGGAGGCUGAGGCAGGAGGAUCGUUUGAACCCAGGAGACGGAGGUUGCAGUGAGCUGAGAUCAUGCCACUGCACUUCAGCCUGGGCGACAGAGUGAGACUCUGUCUCCA
rnacentral:SRP_RNA from 2 species